rnacentral:rRNA from 1 species
CCCUUAGAUGUUCGGGGCCGCACGCGCGCUACACUGAAGGUAGCAGAGGGUGUGAUCGCUCCCGCCCCGAAGCGGGGCGGGUAAACCGUUGAACUACCUUCGUGGCUUGGGACCGGGGCUUGGAACUGUUGCCCGCGAACGAGGAAUUCCCAGUAAGCGCGAGUCAUAAGCUGGCGUUGAUUACGUCCCUGCCCUUUGUACACACCGCCCGUCGCUACUACCGAUUGGACGGUUUAGCGAGGCCCCCGGAUCGGCGCGCCGCGGCUGGACUCGCUUCUGGCUGCGGCGACUGUCCGAGAAGAUGGUCGAACUUGACCGUCUAGAGGAAGUAAAANUCGUAACA